rnacentral:rRNA from 1 species
UUUAUGGAGAGUUUGAUCCUGGCUCAGAGUGAACGCUGGCGGCGUGCCUAAUACAUGCAAGUCGAACGAUGAAGCUUCUAGCUUGCUAGAGUGCUGAUUAGUGGCGCACGGGUGAGUAACGCAUAGGUUAUGUGCCUCUUAGUUUGGGAUAGCCAUUGGAAACGAUGAUUAAUACCAGAUACUCCCUACGGGGGAAAGAUUUAUCGCUAAGAGAUCAGCCUAUGUCCUAUCAGCUUGUUGGUAAGGUAAUGGCUUACCAAGGCUAUGACGGGUAUCCGGCCUGAGAGGGUGAACGGACACACUGGAACUGAGACACGGUCCAGACUCCUACGGGAGGCAGCAGUAGGGAAUAUUGCUCAAUGGGGGAAACCCUGAAGCAGCAACGCCGCGUGGAGGAUGAAGGUUUUAGGAUUGUAAACUCCUUUUGUUAGAGAAGAUAAUGACGGUAUCUAACGAAUAAGCACCGGCUAACUCCGUGCCAGCAGCCGCGGUAAUACGGAGGGUGCAAGCGUUACUCGGAAUCACUGGGCGUAAAGAGCGCGUAGGCGGGAUAGUCAGUCAGGUGUGAAAUCCUAUGGCUUAACCAUAGAACUGCAUUUGAAACUACUAUUCUAGAGUGUGGGAGAGGUAGGUGGAAUUCUUGGUGUAGGGGUAAAAUCCGUAGAGAUCAAGAGGAAUACUCAUUGCGAAGGCGACCUGCUGGAACAUUACUGACGCUGAUUGCGCGAAAGCGUGGGGAGCAAACAGGAUUAGAUACCCUGGUAGUCCACGCCCUAAACGAUGGAUGCUAGUUGUUGGAGGGCUUAGUCUCUCCAGUAAUGCAGCUAACGCAUUAAGCAUCCCGCCUGGGGAGUACGGUCGCAAGAUUAAAACUCAAAGGAAUAGACGGGGACCCGCACAAGCGGUGGAGCAUGUGGUUUAAUUCGAAGAUACACGAAGAACCUUACCUAGGCUUGACAUUGAGAGAAUCCGCUAGAAAUAGUGGAGUGUCUGGCUUGCCAGACCUUGAAAACAGGUGCUGCACGGCUGUCGUCAGCUCGUGUCGUGAGAUGUUGGGUUAAGUCCCGCAACGAGCGCAACCCUCUUUCUUAGUUGCUAACAGGUCAUGCUGAGAACUCUAAGGAUACUGCCUCCGUAAGGAGGAGGAAGGUGGGGACGACGUCAAGUCAUCAUGGCCCUUACGCCUAGGGCUACACACGUGCUACAAUGGGGUGCACAAAGAGAAGCAAUACUGCGAAGUGGAGCCAAUCUUCAAAACACCUCUCAGUUCGGAUUGUAGGCUGCAACUCGCCUGCAUGAAGCUGGAAUCGCUAGUAAUCGCAAAUCAGCCAUGUUGCGGUGAAUACGUUCCCGGGUCUUGUACUCACCGCCCGUCACACCAUGGGAGUUGUGUUUGCCUUAAGUCAGGAUGCUAAAUUGGCUACUGCCCACGGCACACACAGCGACUGGGGUGAAGUCGUAACAAGGUAACCGUAGGUGAACCUGCGGUUGGAUCACCUCCUUUCUAGA